rnacentral:rRNA from 1 species
UUUUAGUGGCGGACGGGUGAGUAACGCGUGGGUAACCUGCCUCACACUGGGGGAUAACACUUAGAAAUAGGUGCUAAUACCGCAUAAGCGCACGGGACUGCAUGGUCUUGUGUGAAAAACUCCGGUGGUGUGAGAUGGACCCGCGUCUGGUUAGCUGGUUGGCGGGGUAACGGCCCACCAAGGCGACGAUCAGUAGCCGGCCUGAGAGGGUGGACGGCCACAUUGGGACUGAGACACGGCCCAAACUCCUACGGAAGGCAGCAG